GGACAUACAACUAUAGGACAAGUACAGAGGUCUGAAGGACAGCUAUGUCAACAAGGAAGCAAUGCAGGAACAAAAACCUGAAUCAAUGUUCAGUCAGAUCCUUUAAUUAUGCAGCUCAUUUUUGUUUUUUGCACCCUUUGCAUUGCCUGCCUGCAGUGAUGGUACAUCUACUGGAAUUCCCUGUGUAUCGUGCUGAUCCUUGUUCUUCCCAAGACAAGGCAACCCAAGCCUUCCUGUUGGAAAUGCCUGGAAAUGUUUACAAAGCACUCACCAAAAGCAUUCAGAAGGAAGACUCGGCACAAUUUCAGUGCUGGCAUGCCAAUGUGGGCUCCUCUGUUUCCUGCUUCCCUUGCAUCCCUGGCAGCCUCUGUGGAGUUUGUCAGCCAAGAUCACACUUAGUUCCUCACCUUGAUGAUACUGAGGCUGUCACAGCCAGCUUUUCCACAUGCAUAUCUUUCUCUUGGGUUUAGGUGGCAAGGUAAUAUUAAAACGAGGCCAGAGAAGUGCACAUAUUUCCAAGUCUAUCAUCACUGAACCAGAAGUAACAAACCCCUGGGAGCCCUGGAAGGGGAAACAUUCAUCCUUUCUGAGUCAGCCAGUCACACAGGGUUCAAGACUGGUGCUCAGACUUCCAGAAAUCAGAGAAUCAUGGAAUCACAGAACGGUUUGGGUUGGAACGGGUCUCAAAACUCAUCUCAUUCCGAGCCCCUGCCAUGGGCAGAGACACCUUCCAUAGACCAGGUUGCUCCAAGCCCCAAGAAACAUUUAAUUCACAACUUGAAAUAUCUUUUUAGUAAUGUUUAUAUUUCAAAUCCAUGUCAUGAAAGCCAGUGGCAAAAGGUCUUAUUCAUGGAGUGUUACUGACUCUAAUUGCUUGUAAAAAGAACUGUGUAAACAAUGGGAUAUUUUGUUUGCUAAGAAUUCAUUAAAAAUUACUCAGCUCAAAAUAACCAGAACAAGUGCAUUAAAAAUAAAUCACUCUCUUCAAAAGCUUUAUUUUAAAGCCAUAUUCUUAAUUAAGAAUACUUGAAAUAAAAAAAGAGAAGAAAAAUAUAUUCUUUAAAAUUCUGAGACUAAACUUAAAUCCUAUCAGAGCAUUCCUUGUUUCUUUCCAGUGCCAACAAAUGAAAACAUCUGUUUUGCUCAAGCCCGUAUUUUUGUCCUUGCCCCGCACAGAAAGAUAAAAAAUAAGGCAUUAAUUUUUCAUUUCUUUCUCCCUGUGGUGCUUCCAGAGGCAGGAGUUAAGUGGCCAGCAAUGCCUCCCAGCCUGUCAGGAGUGAUGCUUUUUUAGGCCAGAGAGAACCUUUGGUCUCCUACAUAGCAAGAGCGUGACAGAAUCACUGAGCUAUCAAAUCAGUUAUUCUGCCAACAUCUUUCUGGUUCACUGAGGAGUAAAUGAAUCCCACCUAAGAGUGCUCCAGCAGCAGAGGCAGAGAGAGCACACACACUGCCCUGCUCGGGCAGCAAGGUGCUUGCCAGGAGUGUCAGUCAUGGAUAAAUAAUUCCUUUCCUUUGGGGAACCUUCAAGGAUUUACUUCUGCCAGCUCUGGGACAGCAGCAGCCAGAGAGCUUCUCCAGGGGGAGGGAACAAGGCCUGGGGCGGGUGCAGCAGCUCCACAGUGGAUCUCCACAAUCCACCAGAGGCCACGCAAGUCUGGGACUGGCACCAGCUUCUGCAGCCAGCACUGGUCAGGAGCUGGUGGUGAGGGAGCUGCUCCAGCAGCAGGUGUUGGGACAGGCUUUAGGCCACUCUCAUCAUUUGGAAAGGAGGGAGUGAGUCUCUGGCACGACAUCACUGGUCCUUCUGCCCUCCAGAAGCUUUAUUUAUCAAAGUCCAGCAGCCCCAGUGAGAAAAUAAGAGAGGUGCAACGUGUGGUGCAGCAGAGAAUUCCACACUGACCUAAAUCUGUGCCUCCAGUUCCAGCUGCUGCAAUGAACUGCAAACCCAUGUAUUUUCUGUGUGAUUUCUCCCAGUUGAUCCUCUUUUUUUAACCUGUCCUUACAUCUUUCCUGGUUUCCACACACAUUGUUGAUCUUUUGAUUGCUUUGCUGCAGUGAUGUACCUCUGACUGCUCCAGUGUUGUCCAUUGGUUUCCCCAAGUGCUUUGACCCAGGAAUAUGUGCAGCCCUGGGGAGGGCCAAGAUUUCUGUUAAAGACCAUCUGCUCACAAAGUGAGUAUUUAAGCCCCAGAUUAGUCAGGUGUUCUGGGCACUUCCUGCCUAGGCCUCUACUCUAAGUGGCUGUUGCACUUCUUCACAAAUGAAACGUGCAUUAUUCCUAGCAGCCCUCAUGAUGAGCAGUACACACAAAUGACCUCUUGGAAGCUCUCUUGACUCAUACAAAACAUAAGAAAAUUGAAAGUCUGUAUUUGCAAGGUCAGAAAUAAAAUGAAAACAUCACUUCGGCUGUCUAAAAGUAAAGCCAUACGAAGCAAAGACCUCACUGAAUAGCAAACUCUUAAAAUAAGUACAAUUUCCUUUGCCACAAAAAAUGUUUCAGUAUAAAGUUGAAUAUAUAUUUCAUUCCACUUAGCUGUAACAUUUUGUUAAACUUCAGGAAUUUUAAGUGAACAACUUCAGUUUCUUACAGUCUUGAACUGCUCUCUUGAAAACCUUUUGGAGAAUAAAAAUGUGCCCUGGGAUGGCUUUGAAGCAUUUUGUUUGGGUCAGUGUUGAGAUCUGAUGUUCUUCAACAACAGCUAAAUUGUUUCUGUGGCCUUAAUGGAAAUCUGAAGCUCUACCCAGCAUUUAGAAUUUCACCUCAUGGACCAGAUCCUUGGCUGCCAUCCUGCCUGCUUUGGUCUGCUCAGGAGGAAUUUGGGGAAUGUACCAAAUGUUUAAACGGCAGCUACAAAUUAAGGUUUUCUUCAGCUCAAGAGGGAGCUACAAUUAAGACAUGAUUGUUGUAGGGAGAAAAAACCCUCUCAGCUGAAGUGUUUCCAAGCUACUCAUCACUUCCCUAGUGUUUCUCUUACAGAAGUUCAUCUAGUCCUGUGAUAUCAGUCUUGUAAACAAAUACUCUCUUUACGUACCUCCUGUGAUAAAAUUCAUGCUUGAUAGUUCUCUAGGAAUUGCUUGCCCCUUCUUGUCUUCUUCAGAUUGGGAAACGUGAAA